AUUGAACGCUGGCGGCAGGCUUAACACAUGCAAGUCGAGCGGAGCGAGGGUGCUUGCACCUAGCUUAGCGGCGGACGGGUGAGUAAUGCUUAGGAAUCUGCCUAUUAGUGGGGGACAACAUUCCGAAAGGGAUGCUAAUACCGCAUACGCCCUACGGGGGAAAGCAGGGGAUCUUCGGACCUUGCGCUAAUAGAUGAGCCUAAGUCGGAUUAGCUAGUUGGUGGGGUAAAGGCCUACCAAGGCGACGAUCUGUAGCGGGUCUGAGAGGAUGAUCCGCCACACUGGGACUGAGACACGGCCCAGACUCCUACGGGAGGCAGCAGUGGGGAAUAUUGGACAAUGGGCGGAAGCCUGGUCCAGCCAUGCCGCGUGUGUGAAGAAGGCCUCUUGGUUGUAAAGCACUUUAAGCGAGGAGGAGGCUACUAGUAUUAAUACUACUGGAUAGUGGACGUUACUCGCAGAAUAAGCACCGGCUAACUCUGUGCCAGCAGCCGCGGUAA
rnacentral:rRNA from 1 species